GGGUUAGUAGAUUGGUCAUGCCACUGGUAUGUACUGGUCUCACUGAUUCCUCCUUCCUGACGAACCGUAAUGCCAUUAAUUUGGUGUUGCGGGGAGACUGGACUGUUACCUUGAGAAAAUUAGAGUGUUCAAAGCAGGCCUACGCCUGAAUACGUUAGCAUGGAAUAAUAGAAUAGGACGUGCGGUUCUAUUUUGUUGGUUUCUAGAGUCGCCGUA
rnacentral:rRNA from 1 species